GCCGGGCGUGGUGGCUCAUGCCUGUAAUCCCAGCACUUUGGGAGGCUGAGGCGGGUGGAUCACCUGAGGUCAGGAGUUCGAGACCAGCCUGGCCAACAUGGUGAAACCCCAUCUCUA
rnacentral:SRP_RNA from 1 species